rnacentral:tRNA from 1 species
UGGAGUUCUACAUAAACUAUUCCUUG